GAAAAACCAACAAUCAAUGUUGUGUAAGUUCUAUCGUUGGGAUAUAAUCCCCUAGCAUGCAGUUGAUCAAAGAAUUCCAUUGCGCGGUGCAAAUUCCCAGUCUUGCACAUGCUAUUAAUCAAAGAAGUAUAAGUCACAACAUCUGGAGACAGCCCAUUCCUCAACAUUUCCGAGUGCAAAACAAGUGCUUGGUGAAAGUUACCCUCUCUACAAUAGCCAUUUACCAGUGUGUUAUAGGUUACUUCAUCAGGCAUUAAUCCCUUUCCCCUCAUCUCUUCCAAAAUCUCACUUGUCUCUUUCAUUCUUCCUUCUCGACACAACCCAUUAAUAAUAGCAUUAUAUGUGACCACACUUGGUUCCAAGCUCCUCACUUGCAUUAGCUUCAACAAUUUGACUGCCUCAUCAACCUUACCUAUCUUACAAUAACCACCUAUGAUGGUGUUAUAGGUUACAACGUUUCGCAAGCAGCCAUUAUUUUCCAUUUCAUUGAAAACAACCAAACUCUUUUGCAGAUCCCCUUUUGCACAAAGGCCUCGGAUCAUAAUGUUAUAAGUAUACACAUUAGGUGAAACCCCAGAUUGAACCAUAUCAUCAUAAAACUUUUGAGCUAAUUCGAAAGACCCAUUACAUGAAACCCCCUGAUCAACGCAUCAAGAUUGGAAUUAUGGACAAAACAGUGAGCAUAAACCCAUUAAACUUGGCUAAUUCAAAGAUAUUCAUAGCUCUGUCAAUCAUUUUCAAAUGAGAGUAGGAUUUUACCAUCAAAUCGAACACAGCAGAGCUGGUUUGCAAGAAUGGUAGUGUCACUGAGACAUGAAAAG
rnacentral:misc_RNA from 1 species